rnacentral:rRNA from 1 species
CGUCCCGCCGGCGACCGGCGCACGGGUGAGUAACACGUAUGCAACCUGGCCGCCACAGGGGGAUAACCCGCGGAAACGCGGCCUAAUACCCCGUGACGCCACCGGAGGGCAUCCUCCGGUGGCCAAAGGAGCGAUCCGGUGGCGGAUGGGCAUGCGGCGCAUUAGCUAGACGGCGGGGUGACGGCCCACCAAGCCGACGAUGCGUAGGGGUUCUGAGAGGAAGGUCCCCCACAUUGGAACUGAGACACGGUCCAAACUCCUACGGGAGGCAGCAG